GGAAACAUCGUCCCUGAUACACUGAGGCAAACCACUCUCAUUCCUAAUGUGCUCCAAGACAAGGAGUUUCUCGGCACUCCAAAAGAACAUGGGUUAAGUCUACGUCUUCAAGAGAGAUUGAAGGGAUUUACUGUCUCCCUUGGUGAAACUGGAGAGAAGGGGAGGACGCUGGCUGCAAAUUCCUUGGAGGGUUGGACCCAAGAGCGAGAAAAAUGAAUAUCUUCAUCCAUCCUAGGCCCAGCCACUUCUCUCUGCCAGUAAGCAUUACAAGCCUUUGCAGGUAGACCUCUUUUAUGAUGAGCUUUACUCGCCAUUAGAGAACAGUAAACUACAGAUUAAAUUCCUUAA